rnacentral:rRNA from 1 species
UGGCGGCCUACCAUGCAAGUCGAGCGGAAACGAGUUAUCUGAACCUUCGGGGAACGAUAACGGCGUCGAGCGGCGGACGGGUGAGUAAUGCCUAGGAAAUUGCCCUGAUGUGGGGGAUAACCAUUGGAAACGAUGGCUAAUACCGCAUAAUACCUACGGGUCAAAGAGGGGGACCUUCGGGCCUCUCGCGUCAGGAUAUGCCUAGGUGGGAUUAGCUAGUUGGUGAGGUAAUGGCUCACCAAGGCGACGAUCCCUAGCUGGUCUGAGAGGAUGAUCAGCCACACUGGAACUGAGACACGGUCCAGACUCCUACGGGAGGCAGCAGUGGGGAAUAUUGCACAAUGGGCGCAAGCCUGAUGCAGCCAUGCCGCGUGUGUGAAGAAGGCCUUCGGGUUGUAAAGCACUUUCAGUCGUGAGGAAGGUAGUGUAGUUAAUAGCUGCAUUAUUUGACGUUAGCGACAGAAGAAGCACCGGCUAACUCCGUGCCAGCAGCCGCGGUAAUACGGAGGGUGCGAGCGUUAAUCGGAAUUACUGGGCGUAAAGCGCAUGCAGGUGGUUUGUUAAGUCAGAUGUGAAAGCCCGGGGCUCAACCUCGGAAUAGCAUUUGAAACUGGCAGACUAGAGUACUGUAGAGGGGGGUAGAAUUUCAGGUGUAGCGGUGAAAUGCGUAGAGAUCUGAAGGAAUACCGGGUGGCGAAGGCGGCCCCCUGGACAGAUACUGACACUCAGAUGCGAAAGCGUGGGGAGCAAACAGGAUUAGAUACCUGGGGAAUUC